GGGGAAAUUAGGGUUCGAUUCCGGAGAGGGAGCCUGAGAAACGGCUACCACAUCUAAGGAAGGCAGCAGGCGCGCAAAUUACCCAAUGAAAACAGUUUCGAGGUAGUGACGAGAAAUAACAAUACAGAGCAUUAAAUGUUUUGUAAUUGGAAUGGUGGGAAUCUAAACCCCUUUCAGAGUAACAAUUGGAGGGAAAGUCUGGUGCCAGCAGCCGCGGUAAUUCCAGCUCCAAUAGCGUAUAUUUGAGUUGUUGCAGUUAAAAAGCUCGUAGUUGGAUUUCUGUGUCGGAUCUCGCGGAUGCCAUGUAGAGU
rnacentral:rRNA from 1 species